rnacentral:rRNA from 1 species
UACGUAGGGCGCAAGCGUUGUCCGGAAUUACUGGGCGUAAAGCGUGCGCAGGCGGUUGUGCAAGACCGAUGUGAAAUCCCCGGGCUUAACCUGGGAACUGCAUUGGUGACUGCACGGCUAGAGUGUGUCAGAGGGGGUAGAAUUCCACGUGUGAGCAGUGAAAUGCGUAGAGAUGUGGAGGAAUACCGAUGGCGAAGGCAGCCCCCUGGGAUAACACUGACGCCUCAUGCACGAAGCGUGGGGAGCAAACAGG